GCACAAGCUAUCACCCACGCACAGCUACCCCGUCCCCAGCCUGCAGCUUCCUCUGACACACAUUUUCCAUUGCUGGGCGGGGCAGAGCAGGUUACAGGUCCGCAGCCCCAACUUCAGUGGCACAGCAUCAACAGGGCACCAGCCUACGUGAGGUGUCGCCUGGUGUCCCGGAGCGGGUGCAGGGCAGCUGUCAGAAUGGCAGCUCUGCUGUGUGUGAGCUAUGUGACUCUGGGCAAGCCCCUGGGCCUCGCUGAGACUUCCCUCCCCAUCUGUCUUCUGAGUCCGACAUCCCAGAGCCUGUGCUAAGAGAAGGCCAGGCCAAGUAAGGCUGCGAGGGACUUCUGUGUCAUGACCACGAGAGCCAGGGGUGAACUCUUGGCUCGAGGCCACUGCUCCUUCAUUCCCUCCCACCAGCUUCUGUGGUGGGUUCUUUUG
ensembl:lncRNA